UACAUAGGCCCCGAGCGUUAAUCGGAAUCACUGGGCUCAAAGGGUGCGUAGGUGGUUGUGCAAGUCUGAUGUGAAAUCUCCGGGCUUAACCCGGAAAUGGCACUGGAAACUGCAUGGCUAGAGGGUUGGAGGGGGGACUGGAAUACUUGGUGUAGCAGUGAAAUGCGUAGAUAUCAAGUGGAACACCAGUGGCGAAGGCGAGUCCCUGGACAACACCUGACACUGAGGCACGAAAGCUAGGGGAGCAAACAGG
rnacentral:rRNA from 1 species